rnacentral:rRNA from 1 species
GACGAACGCUGGCGGCGUGCUUAACACAUGCAAGUCGAACGGAAAGGCCCUGCUUUUGUGGGGUGCUCGAGUGGCGAACGGGUGAGGAACACGUGAGUAACCUGCCCUUGACUUUGGGGUAACUUCAGGAAACUGGGGCUAAUAUCGGAUAGGAUCUCCUGCUCCAGGGUGGGGGUGGGAAAGUUUCGGCGGUUGGGGAUGGACUCGCGGCUUACCAGCUUGCUGGUGGGGUAGGGGAUUACCAAGGCUUGGACGGGUAGCCGGCCUGGGAGGGUGGACGGCCACAUGGGGACUGAGGGACGGACCAGACUCGUACGGGAGGCAGCGGUGGGGAGUAUUGCACAGUGAGCGGGAGCCUGAUGCAGCGACGCCGCGUGCGGGAUGACGGCCUUCGGGUUGUAAACAGCUUUCGCCUGUGACGAAGCGUGAGUGACGGUACUGAGUAAAGAAGCACCGGCUAACUACGUG